CACAGCAUAGGUUUCUGACACAGAAUGAAUGUGGUCUAAUGAACUUAAAAGUUUUUUUUUGCCUUUGAGCAAUUCACUAUGCUGUUGAAUAUUAAUCCUCUCAAAAAAAUGUUUGAAGAAAUUUUCUUUUUAUUUAUGAAAUCUGAAAUGAGAAAAAUUUAACCCCCCCCCUUUUUUUUCACAUCCCCGUUUCCCUUUUUCCAAAACUGAUAUCAAUUCAAAUUUCUAAUGGAGUUUGCAACAAUAACUACUCAUUUAAAUACAUCAUAAAAUAUUAAGAUGUAAAAAAACUGCUUGUUAUCACUGAAUGGUAAAGAUUAUUUAAAUUUAUCAGUUGGUAGUAAAAAGUGAAUAUACAUUGUAUAUUGUAUAUAACAAAGAUUUAAG
rnacentral:lncRNA from 1 species